rnacentral:rRNA from 1 species
AGGGCACCACCAGGAGUGGAGCCUGCGGCUUAAUUUGACUCAACACGGGAAACCUCACCCGGCCCGGACACGGACAGGAUUGACAGAUCGAUAGCUCUUUCUCGAUUCCGUGGGUGGUGGUGCAUGGCCGUUCUUAGUUGGUGGAGCGAUUUGUCUGGUUAAUUCCGAUAACGAACGAGACUCUGGCAUGCUAACUAGUUACGCGACCCCCCGAGCGGUCGGCGUCCCCCAACUUCUUAGAGGGACAAGUGGCGUUCAGCCACCCGAGAUUGAGCAAUAACAGGUCUGUGAUGCCCUUAGAUGUCCGGGGCUGCACGCGCGCUACACUGACUGGCUCAGCGUGUGCCUACCCUACGCCGGCAGGCGCGGGUAACCCGUUGAACCCCAUUCGUGAUGGGGAUCGGGGAUUGCAAUUAUUCCCCAUGAACGAGGAAUUCCCAGUAAGUGCGGGUCAUAAGCUUGCGUUGAUUAAGUCCCUGCCCUUCGUACACACCGCCCGUCGCCACUACCGAUUGGAUG